rnacentral:rRNA from 1 species
GAUGAACGCUGGCGGCGUGCCUAAUACAUGCAAGUCGAACGCAUUGUGGUUGAAAUGAUAUGAAGAACUUGUUCAGAUUUUGAUUUUCAACAUUGCAAUGAGUGGCGAACGGGUGAGUAACACGUGGGAAACCUACCUCUUAGCAGGGGAUAACAUUUGGAAACAAAUGCUAAUACCGUAUAAUAAUUAAAACCGCAUGGUUUUAGUUUAAAAGAUGGUCUUGCUAUCACUAAGAGAUGGUCCCGCGGUGUAUUAGUUAGUUGGUGAGGUAAUGGCUCACCAAGACAAUGAUACAUAGCCGAGUUGAGAGACUGACCGGCCACAAUGGGACUGAGACACGGCCCAUACUCCUACGGGAGGCAGCAGUAGGGAAUCUUCCACAAUGGACGAAAGUACUGAUGGAGCAACGCCGCGUGUGUGAUGAAGGGUUUCGGCUCGUAAAACACUGUUGUAAGAGAAGAAUGACAUUGAGAGUAACUGUUCAAUGUGUGACGGUAUCUU